CCUACUCUAAUAAGGCUUUUGAUAUCUGGAGCUCAUAGGUGGGAGACAGCUAAUACAUACUUACAAGACAUUUAUUGCAUAGUCAAACCAUGGAUCCAGAAGAACAAGUCAAUAAGUCAAAUCAAGAUGUGCAUGUGUGGCGAAUGAAUGAUGUAUGGUGAUGAUGGUGAUAACAAUGGUGAAAGUCUAAUUCUACUCAUGCUCUUUUGAGGGGAUACAUACCUUUCUUGCUCUUUUGAAACUUUUUGAGGAGAAUGGGAUGCUCUAUAUUUUCUUUUUUUCUUUUCUCUCAGGUGGGUAUCUUGUACCCCUAAUUCUACUGUCGGACACUUGUCCAUUUUUACCUCUCGUCUCAUUUAUUUUCUUUUUUUCUUUUUUUCUUUUCUUUCGAGGUUCCGGGCACUUGCCCCUUUUUAUUUCCUCGUAUUUUUUUCUCUCUUUUUUUUAUUAGAGCACUCAGCUCAUGAGAUAAUAUAGCAAGUGGUAUUUGUUGACGGUUCUUAAGUAUCAAUUUUAAUUAUCAAAUAAACAAGAGAAAGGACCAAUAUGCAACCAUCACCUAGAAUUAGGGUUUGAUCUGACAGAAUUCCACGAGUUUUGUUGUUUAUCUAUUUCUGCAGGGGGUUAUCAGGAAAUAAGGAAGAAAGGCCCACAUGUCGGGAUUACAUAGAGAUAUCAACGCACCGCGCAAUUCUACAUCAUCUAGAAGACUCCAGAAGCCACGAGACCGAAGCGGAGGCGAAGCUGGGCCAGGCCCAGGGCGCCCGCCCUGGAAGCCUGGGCGCCCGCCCCCCUGCUGGAGCCAAUUCAGGACUCCUUCGCUCGGGAUAUUCCACCGACCUAUUGGAUCAAGAAAAACAUAGUACCACCUCGGCUAUCGACCCAAAAAUGCAUAGAAGGGGAGGCCUAUAUAAGCGAGGCUCCCCUGGCCCCUGGAAGACAUGAAGAAAUUAUCAUAGAGACUGAGGGGUGCCCUCGAAGGAAAACCUCUUCUCUAAUUAAUAUUUCUUUUUAGGCUUAGCAAUCAAUGUAAGGUAGAAAUAGAUCUUCUAGUUUCUACUAGAUUGAGAGAGAUAGAGUGGAGGUAUAUAGUGGAGGAAGCCCGGCCUGUCGGUGUCUACUCCAAGCUUGUACCUGCGGGAUCAAGUUCUCCUAACCCGAAGCUUGCUCCUAGGAUUCUUCAGUAAUUCGACUUCUAAAUUCUAGUAAGUUCUUGUUUUAUUGUUCUUAUGGUUUAUGAGUUUACUUUAAUCUCUUCGCGUAGAGUUUAGAGUAAUCAUUGCUGGCGUAAAUGUGGUGUUUAGGCUGGGGUACUCAUAGAUAUUCCCUGACUAGCUGGACCGUGGUAGUAGUGAGGAACGUGACAAUUCUGAGCUACCUUUGUAGAUCACAUCUCGUUAGCAGGAAGGAUAGGGUUUAUAGGUGCGGGUUGAACAUCCUUUGUGGUGUCUAGAUUCCGUUAGCCUCCCCAUUAGAACAGUAGAUCAUCCUUACCAAGGUUAGAAGGAGACUACGGUUGCAGUCUUCUCUAUUUAUCACUCACAUCGAAAGACAUUCUUUGUGCCUAAAGGGAUAGUAGCAAUAGAUUUGGUUAGUCAGAUGCACCCUUUCUCCCAGUGGUAAAAAUAUAAAUACGAUACUCUGGAAAACCUCCCGGGUGAAAUGCUCACCGAUAUCCGUGCGCUUGCGGAUCAUUUCCUUAUUGCGUUACCAAAUAUCAACAAGCAUUUCUGGCGCCGUUGCCGGGGAGAAAGACGGUUUGCUGAGAUAACUUUGAGUCUUGCUAUUAUCUUGUAUUAUACUUUUAUACUUUUAUUCUUUUAUCUUUUUAUUUUUAUCUUUAUGGAUAACUCAAAUUCAAUAACUAUUAUUAAAUUCCUUGCACCUUCGGAGACCAGCCAUAGACCAUGGGAGUCAACACGUCCUGCCCCUAAUUAUGAUCUGUGUCCGGAGUUGAUUGCAAUAGGUCAAAACCAACCCUUUUCUAUAGCCGAGGUCCUAUCUUUUAAUCAAGAAGAUAAUGCACUUUUAGCUACACCUAGGGAAUCUGUUAAUCUUUCUAUAAAUUCUGGUUUAGACCUAGCCUUGCAAGACCAUGUUUUUCUUAGAUAUUUUCACAUUGGUCUUGAUCAUAUAACCUUUGGUAGAGUCCUUCUUUCUUUAUCAGUUAGUAACGGAAGGUAUGUCUUCAUUCGUGGACAUCCUUCUUGUACUAGUCUUCAUAGAAAAAUCAUAGAGAUAGAGAAGGAAUCAUCUCUCAUACAAGGAGAGGAAGUUUCAAUAGCCGAUUUCCAAAUUUUCCAAUCCCAUGAUUCGGCUAUCCAACCCAUCCUUGAGCCUAAUAAUCUCUACUAUGCUCUUUCUCUUGAACCUCCCGAUAAUCCUAUGAAUCUCUCUAGACAUCCCAUGCAUAAGGAGGAUCGAGAAGAGCAACAUCAAUGGCUAGAGGGCAUUAAAAAUUCAUGUGCUAUCACCACAUUUGAGAUCUCCAACCCUCUCUUCUUUUCUAUUUAUAAAAACUUUAAAAGAGCGGUUGUCGAUGCAUAUGUUUAUAAUAAAUAUUGCAGAUCUCGUCGAGUUAAUUGAUGGUUUCCCAAGGACAAGCUUAGUGUCCUAAAACAAGCACUUAUCAGAUUGUAACAUGAACUUCUAAUUACUUGCAACAUUACCUUGUGUAUUGAGCAUAUAAAGAUAAUUGUAGAAAUAUUCCUUCGGGUAUUCUUGUCACUAACCUUUCUAGGAUUGGAGCAAGAAGACCGGAUGAAUGACAAGCGCAAGGUAUGCCCAACCAAUCAACAUGCAACAUUGAAUUAAAUUCAUCCAAUCUUGAAUUUUGCAAAAUUCAAGCUUAGGGGAGUACUUCACAUAAAAACAUCCUUUGCCAUGUUGCUAUGUUGGUUGUCCUUACCUUUGAGACAUGCUCAAUUUAUUAAAUACUAAUCACACUACUUCAUCUCCACUUAAGUAGAUCUCUAUAAAUGCCAUCACGCUACCUUUGUUUAUCCUAGUAAGUGUUAGUUUGGAAGUACUGCACAUACUUCUAUUGGCUUUUAAAUUAAGCAUGGUGCUUAGGUUAAACAGCCUUCCUUAAUCUGAUUAGACAUGGAGUCUAGUUCGGUUAUCGAACUAAAAAUUGCUUGUAUAGACAUUUGUAUAUUUUGUGGGACUAACCCCUGCAGGAAAACUUUCAAUAUCAACUUGGGAAGUCCUGAGAUAAACUCACAUUGGAGAUGAAGAAAGUGACACAUGAAGUUUAACAAUUUGCACAAGAAAGAUGUAGCUCAUAAGAGAUGAUCCAUGGAGGGAGCCACAAACACGAUGCACAACCGCUAGAAAGGAAAGCUUCUACAAGGUGAUACUGUACCAUCACUCUUCAAAGGUAACAUCUUAAGGUACUUGACUAUCCUUUUAUAAGUUUCUCCUUGGUUCUGGCGUUCACAUAAAUAAAGAGACAAACAUGUAUGAUUUAUAACUCUAAAUUAACCAACCUAACUGAUUCAACAUGUUUAGUCCCUUAAUCUUUGUUCUUAGUACUACCUUCGUAAUCCCACGCUCCUAAACAUAUAAGCUAAUAUGUUGCACAUUCAAUCUUUGGAAGAUAAAAAAAAUAGAUAGAUUAUCUUUCCAUUAGGUUGAGCCAUCUGAUCUAACAAAUGUUUUAAAUGCUACACUCAUGAUCCAUCAACUUUGUCUUGCUCACUAUGCUUAAGGUUAGAAAAGAACAAAUACACUUUUGGUUCUGUUGGUGUUUUCCACCAACAGAGCCCAUGCACUUGAUCUCUGCCUUGUCUCUAUGAGCAGGACACAUUUUGAGAAACGUGAAGGCGUUUUACAACUCCCAGAUUCCAUUAAGUGAAGAACCAGGAUCUACGAGCACAAACACAAUGGAGAUCAGACACUUAGUUUCCCAAAGGAAAUAUUAAAGAACCUCUAUGUCCAUGUUGGUACCUUGUACGCUCCAGCAAACUUCGUGGUGGUAGAGACUGGUACUGAGGAGAGGGCACCCAUCAUCUUACGGAGGCCAUUCCUAAACACCAGAGCUGUCAUCUACGCUAAUGAUGCCAAGAUCAGUCUCUACAUCAAGGGGAAGAAGGAGACUUUUCUUCAAGAACAAGACUACAUAAACUUCAGAGCAAUCCCGACAUGAACCAAGGAAGAGGACCAACAGGAGGAACAGGAACAAGCAAAUGUGGACCGAGUCAGCUAAGAUGGUCACUGCAGCUCAAGGAGGUCAAGAUCAUCGACUCAAGUCACCUUUCUUGAUCAAGAAGGACGACCCUGGUGUUCCAAUCAUCGAGUGCACAACCAAUAGAUACUCUUUUUAGAAAACACUCUACGACACCGGAUCUAACGUCAACAUAAUGGCCGCAGUCACUUAUCAGCUCCUGCAUGGAACCAUGCCCCUACAACCAAUAUAUAUUUAGCUCCAGAUGAUUUUCAGAACAUUGAUAUGGGAGAAGACGAGUACGAUCCACCCAUCAUCCUUGGAAGACCAUUCCUCAACACUAUCCAAGUUAUCAUCUACAUUGGAACCGGAGAAGUCCACGUGUAUUUCCCCUCUGAGAAGGUACGCCAUUACUUUAAUGAUUCUAACUAUAUAGUUGAAGAUUCUAAGCAGGUCAGGACAAGAAGAAGACGACGCAACCGCAACCAGAGGAGGCAAAUCAUCAAGGACGGAUGGGCAGACUACGAAGGAAAAGUUGUAAGGUCAGAAGACGUUGAGUUUAAACAGAAUUAUCCAGAGGAGACCUAAGCACCAAGUCAGGUGUGGAAAAGGAAGAUAACUAUACAUGAAGAGGAGGCGCUACCGGAAGUACCGACUACGCCACCUAACGAACCUCAGGAUAAUUGAGAAGGAGGAGAGUCCCGUUCGGAGGACUUAAAAACACCGAACGCCUUGCCAAGAGGUAAACUUGGUAGUUAUCCUUUCCCUUUCAAUUAUUUCAAGUAGUUCACUUAGUGAAUUAAGUUCUAAACAGAAAGUAAAAAUGUGAAAAACAGUAAGCCCCAUGUGAGGAUACGAGUGGCAUAAAACCCAUAAGUACAUUCACUGUGGUGGCAUAAAAAUAAAACAAAAAUAUUUUUCUGCUUUAUAAAAUAAAAAUAUAAAAACAGGGAGUAAUAAUUAUUAAGGAGUCUCAACAUGAUAAAGGCUAGAUAUUUAUGCUAACACUUAAUUAGUUCCACAAGCUUUGUUGUCUAUUUGAGCUCCACAGAAUCUAAGAAUCAAGAAGACUGGCAGACGGAGGAUAUUCUAAUCGCUGUCACAAUGCUGCUGACUUUCAAAUACACCUCUGCCACCUGCUAGCUACAUCAAGAGAAAUUACGUCAAAAUUCAGCUUGGGGGAGAGCACCCCAUUUAUCUCGAUAAGUAUUUCUAUCUAUCUAUCUCUAUACUUAUAUUCUUUUAGAAUAUAAAUAUACAUAACUAUGAAAAACCAAAUAAAGAUUUUAUGCUUAUAUAUAUAUGUCUUUUGCUUAGUGUGUUUAAUAAAUAAAUAAAGUGGCUAUGCUAAUCUAUAUCUAAAUAAAACUCAAGCAUGGAAAUGAUGAAUAGUUGCUCUGCCUAAUUUGCACAUUUUAAGUUCUCUCUCACGUUUAGACAUAACUGUUAUAAUUUAAAGCUUGCUCUAGACCUAAACUUGUGGGAUGAAAACUUGAUAUGGGAAGGUUGAGCUGCUGUUUAUCUGUUUCUAGAGAUGCUAGAAUUCUGGAGAAUUUUAUCUUUGGAAAUCUUUAAAAUGUUGCAUGACGAGUUCCUGUAUGAUGAGAGUUUAAAUUCCUACCACAGCCAUAUAUACAUGCUUGCUAGACUUCGAGCCACACAAUUACUUUUUACUGCUUAUGAGCAUUGAGUGUGGUCAAGCUGUGUAGACCCUUAGGAGCUUGUCAUGUGGUUAAAUCAAGAUUCACUUGCACGUUCACUCACACAUGCUACUUCUACUCCGGAAGUACCAUCCACAUAUAUCCAUACAUUUCCAUCUUCAGAAUCACCCAAAAAUAUUCUACUCCUAAUCCGGGAGAGAAUAGCCAAAAAUAAUUUUGUUCUUCCUUGUGUAAUAAAUGCCUCAAGAUCAAUAAAGAGUAUUAUUAUUAUGUCUUGUGUGUCUCUACUUUAUUUUUGUGCAAGAAAGCAGAAAACAAGUAUGGGGGAGAUCCCUCGACAUGCUAAACACACUCCGACUACACCACUCCACGAUUCAGGUACACACUCUGCACACUUUACUCUACACAUAUAUAUAUUUUAGAUUAUGCAGAAUAUUGUUCCCGACAUGAUAAAAUAAAAAGAUUAAAAUAUUUCUAAUCAUGAUUAAUCUCAAUCUGUGAUAUUUCCUGAAAACUUGCAAUUAGUAUAAAAUCAUUUUUUUUAAAAAAAACCCUGUGUUACUUAAGUCAAGAAGGAAUAUGUGAUGGUAGAGUAUGAGUUUCUUAUUCUUGAUAUCAUUGUUGCUUGGAGAAUUUAUUUCAAAAUGUUCAAAUUCCUAGCUACCAACCUCAGUGUUUUAUAUGCCUGAUAAAACUGAAAUAUUAAAUAUGAUUAUAAAAGCUAUCUGCUCUGUAUUGAGUUUGUUCAAAAUGAGUUAGACCCUUGUUGAGAGAUUUAUCAUGCUCCCAAGAUCAAGACACUAUUUCAGUAAGAUUCACUCUUCCGAAGUAUUAUUGCAUUAGAGGCAUGGUCUAUGCAAAAAUAUAAGAUAUUUCGAGGAAAUAAAAAGGAGCAAGUGCUCGACAACCUCGCAGAAAAAAAUGGACAAGUGUCCGACAGUAGAAUUAGAGGUACCUCGGUAUCCACUUAAAAAAAAAAGAGAAAAGAGAGAAAAAAAAUGAUAGCCCAUGGUCCAUCUAAUAAGCAAUAUGCCAGUAAGAGUUGACAAAGAUUUUAAUUUUCAAAGUCUUUGAUCUAAGAGUAUGACAUUUCCCUCCUCGGAUCCCGUUUUGAUCAGACAAUAAAUCCAAAGUAAGUAUGCUUGAGAAUUUUUGCAAAAUAAAACAGCCUCAGUGAGAUAUAUAUAUAAAAGAUAAUGAGUGAUCCGAGAGAACCUAUGAGGAUCAAAAGGUAUGCUAACUUUCUUUCAAAAAUAUACAAAAAAAAACUCCAAGUGACAGGAUUGAGAAGAAAGGAUCUCUACUCUUAUACUUCCCUGACUAUGGUACACAGUGGAAUUUUUUAACACCCUGCAAUUGUAAAGAGAAUGUUUUAAAUGUUUACCCCAGAUAUUUUUCUUAACCAUCCUUUUCUCGAGGACGAGUAAAAGCCUAAGUAUGGGGGUAUUUGUUGACGGUUCUUAAGUAUCAAUUUUAAUUAUCAAAUAAACAAGAGAAAGGACCAAUAUGCAACCAUCACCUAGAAUUAGGGUUUGAUCUGACAGAAUUCCACGAGUUUUGUUGUUUAUCUAUUUCUGCAGGGGGUUAUCAGGAAAUAAGGAAGAAAUGCCCAUAUGUCGGGAUUACAUAGAGAUAUCAACGCACCGCGCAAUUCUACAUCAUCUAGAAGACUCCAGAAGCCACGAGACCGAAGCGGAGGCGAAGCUGGGCCAGGCCCAGGGCGCCCGCCCUGGAAGCCUGGGCGCCCGCCCCCCUGCUAGAGCCAAUUCAGGACUCCUUCGCUCGGGGUAUUCCACCGACCUAUUGGAUCAAGAAAAACAUAGUACCACCUCGGCUAUCGACCCAAAAAUGCAUAGAAGGGGAGGCCUAUAUAAGCGAGGCUCCCCUGGCCCCUGGAAGACAUGAAGAAAUUAUCAUAGAGACUGAGGGGUGCCCUCGAAGGAAAACCUCUUCUCUAAUUAAUAUUUCUUUUUAGGCUUAGCAAUCAAUGUAAGGUAGAAAUAGAUCUUCUAGUUUCUACUAGAUUGAGAGAGAUAGAGUGGAGGUAUAUAGUGGAGGAAGCCCGGCCUGUCGGUGUCUACUCCAAGCUUGUACCUGCGGGAUCAAGUUCUCCUAACCCGAAGCUUGCUCCUAGGAUUCUUCAGUAAUUCGACUUCUAAAUUCUAGUAAGUUCUUGUUUUAUUGUUCUUAUGGUUUAUGAGUUUACUUUAAUCUCUUCGCGUAGAGUUUAGAGUAAUCAUUGCUGGCGUAAACGUGGUGUUUAGGCUGGGGUACUCAUAGAUAUUCCCUGACUAGCUGGACCGUGGUAGUAGUGAGGAACGUGACAAUUCCGAGCUACCUUUGUAGAUCACAUCUCG
rnacentral:lncRNA from 1 species